UUAAGGUCUUUUUGUACUAUAUUCACCACAAUUCUUGUUUUUUUUAAAUUAAUUCAUGUCAGUUACCUAAGGAAUAAAUAGUGCUAUUGCUGUUUUGUUCAACAUUACCUUGUCAAUGAUUAACAUUGUCAAUUAUUGAGAUACUUUAUAAACCAAUGGGUCAGAAUGAAUAAAUUUUAUAUUCUCAAUACACCCUCACUCUGUAGACGACUACUUGAGGACUCACAAUCACGAAAUGAAAAUUCAUGCUUUUUUUGAUUGGUAACUGAGGGUGAAUCAAUAUUAUUAGGACAUAAAUAAAUGUUUUAGUAGUAGCUAGUCCAUAUUUCCGAUCUGAGUUUAACAGUUUUGAGGAGAGCAACAAUUCAAAUCUUGUUAAUAUGAGUUGGAUUCCACCAUUUUUACUACUAUAUUUAUAUUGGCAAACUUAUAGUCCCUAGUGAAAAUUUACAGGUUUUGUUACCAGCCACAAAUCGCUUAUAGUUUAUCUAUACAGUAUAUGUGCAGAGAUUCUACUAAGACAAAUGGAUCCUUCAAAUUAUCUUUCUAUAAAAUCAUUUGCCAACUUGCAUAAUUGUACGGAGUUCUCUCAAGUUUCGAAGCAUUCAUCAAUAAACAGUUUUGUUAAUGGUUUAAGGUGAUGAGUUCUUAUCAUUAUCUUGUGAAAUGUGUUGAGAUUGUUUCCUAUAAUGACAUUGAUGUUCCAUCUGAGGAGAAAGCCUUUGAAUGUGUUAUUUAAUGGGAAAAACAUGUUUUGGAUUGGUGGAAAUGUAUUGCCUGUAUAAUGGAACUCGUGCGUUUGCCAUUAUUAGCAUCAACGACCAAUAUAAAUUAAUGAUUUUUUAUAAGAAGCUUUACAAUUUCUUUUUAAGAAAUCAGUUCAGCAUUUCGCCAUUCUAAAAAUGAUUCGGUGUAUAGGUUUUUGAUGACACUGUUCAAAAAUGGGUAGUUAGUACAACUACAGAAGUGAUUUGCGAUGGGUAUACUCAACAAUCGUUUAUAUGAAAUACGAGCGUUUUCAAAACAUUAGAAGUCUGGCGAACUUUAUGAUCCCACACAUGAACUACCUAGUUGAAGAACUGUCUGUAUAUUACAAAGGUGUUAAUAUAGAAGUUUUGGAAGGUGUUAUGUAUGCUAUCAGUGUUAGUGAUGGAUCAACAUUUCUUAACAGCAUUGAGGCCUGAUGACUAAUGAUGGAUUAUGGUUGUUUAUUGCUAAUACAUUUCUUGAUAAAUACCUGGAUUAGUCAAUCAGAUGGUGUAUUGUAUGUGAUUGACGGAGAGACAAAGAAAUCUGAAGAAUUUGUUAAUACUAUAGAAGUGUACAACCCAACACCAAUACCUGGUCCAUCAAAACAUUGUCAACAAGUAACAUUGACUUCUGUAUGUUUAGUUGAGUAGUUAUUAUUGGACCACCACAGUUUAUAUCUUAUUAGCAUUAAUAAUAGUCUUAUUAUUGUUUGUAAUAAUACACACAUAAGACUAACUUAUGAUAAAACAUGUAUUUAUUAUAUCAAUUUUCGUUUUUUUUUUUUUUUGUGAAUAUUCAAUAAAAAGUGUUUUGUAUAAUUUAAAUCAACUAUUGUAUUCAAGUUAAACAAAUACAGUUAUAUUCAGUAGGUUUAUUCAUAACUGUAAAUAAUAGUUUUUUCUUUAAAAAUACUUUGCUUUAUAGUUCAAUACACAUUCUUAAAUAGUAGUACAUAAUAAAAUGUAAAGUGUCAGUAAGCUGUAUAUCAAGAAAAAUAUUUAUGGUCUACGUCGUCACAACACAUAAGCAACUUCAUUUAAAGUCAUAAGGCAUUAAGUUUAAAUUUUUAAAGUGAAUAAAAUAUUCAUCAUAGGUACUUGGAUAUUAUAAAAUAAUAUAAUAAUAAUAGGGAGGGGGUGGGGGGGGGGUUCAAACCCCAUAGCUUCCUCUUCUAUCCACAUCUGUUAUUAUUAUUUAUAUAACAAAAUUACUAUUUAUGACCAAUGAACUAAUAAUAGAAUGUUUAUUAUACACAUAAUAUCUACAAUUAUUUACCUUUUUCUUUUUUUUUAUAACGUCCCAACGAAUAGUAGCAAGAUUGUCAUUGCUUACAUAGUAGUUACAUUCAUAUAGAAUACAGUCUACAGAUAAAAAAUUGUAUAUGUAGUAGUUGCGCCGUGCACCAAUAUAGAUAUUUUUAUUUUAUAGACCUAAUCUAAUUUUCAAAAUAAAUAUGAUGUUGUUUUUGUGUAUUAAUUUUCAUCAUAAUAUGUUUAUCUUAUCAUAUUCUAUUCAUUUUUCAAAAUAUUUUGAGUCGUCUUGAGUUAUUUAUAGACAUUUUAAACUAUCAAUUUGUUUUUUAUUUUAUAAAUUGUCAAUAAAAAUAUGUUAUUUGUAGUGUUAAAAACCUUGAAAAUUCAACACAUGAUUCCUCAUAAGUAGUUAUAAUAGUAGUUAAGAAAUAUUAAAAUACAAUAGCUAAGGAUUGACAAUUUAAAAAAGAUUCUCAUAAAUAAUUCAUACUGUAAUCAAUUAAUCUAAAAAUAUAUUAUAUACACUCUUAUUUUUUGCAGACAUUUUAAGUUCAAAUUUGGACAAAAUAACAUAUUAAAACCAAGAAUACCAAUUUUAGUUAUAUUGUUGUAAUUUAAAAAUAUUAUUCGUGGGUAUAUGAAACUUUUAGAGUAUAUGAUUAUAUUUUACAUACACAAUGACAUUUUCAAAUACCGUGUUACUAAUACCAGUGCCAUAUUUAUAUUUAAAAGAGACAUUUUCACUGGGCCCGCUUAAAAGGGGGGCCCACCGACUUCAAGCGUACAAAAUUAAUUUUAUACCUUUUUAUCAUAAUUUAGGAAAACAAAAUAGAUUAGGAUUUUAUUUGGAUAUUCUGGUGGGUUAUAGUUUUAUAAUGUAUGAUGGAUUUUCCCCGAAAACGAUGGCCUUAAUCAAUAUUGCUGACAACAAAAUUGAAUUGCCGUAAUACUACUAUUGACUUUAUUGACUUAUUGUCUUGUGUAGUUGCGUUACAUACGCAGAGUUGGUGUAUUUUUUCAUUUUUUUUUUAAAAAACCUAUAAAACUGUAUUUUUUAUAAAAUAAAUUGUUUGAGUUUUAAGACAAUGUUGUAAACAGUAUAUUUAAAAUAACUUAAUUUUAAUUAAUUAUGAGCCAAUAUCCUGUGUACUAGUAUAUGUUUCACUGUUUAUUUUUUACUUAUUUUAAAUAUUAAAAGUAUUUGAAAUGUUGUAUGAAAGAAGUUCUCAGAG